GAUGAACGCUGGCGGCGUGCCUAAUACAUGCAAGUCGAGCGAGCAGACGAGGAGCUUGCUCCUCUGACGUUAGCGGCGGACGGGUGAGUAACACGUGGAUAACCUACCUAUAAGACUGGGAUAACUUCGGGAAACCGGAGCUAAUACCGGAUAAUAUAUUGAACCGCAUGGUUCAAUAGUGAAAGACGGUUUUGCUGUCACUUAUAGAUGGAUCCGCUCCGCAUUAGCUAGUUGGUAAGGUAACGGCUUACCAAGGCAACGAUGCGUAGCCGACCUGAGAGGGUGAUCGGCCACACUGGAACUGAGACACGGUCCAGACUCCUACGGGAGGCAGCAGUAGGGAAUCUUCCGCAAUGGGCGAAAGCCUGACGGAGCAACGCCGCGUGAGUGAUGAAGGUCUUCGGAUCGUAAAACUCUGUUAUUAGGGAAGAAAAAAUGUGUAAGUAACUAUGCACGUCUUGACGGUACCUAAUCAGAAAGCCACGGCUAACUACGUG
rnacentral:rRNA from 1 species